rnacentral:rRNA from 1 species
AGGAAAGUAGGGGAUUGUAAGAUUUUGCGCUUUGGGAGUGGCCGAUAUUGGAUUAGUUAGUUGGUGAGGUAAAGGUUCACCAAGGUGAUGAUCCGUAGUGGGUUUGAGAGGAUGAUUCGCCACACUGGAAUUGAGAUACGGCCCAGACUUCUAUGGGAGGCAGUAGUGGGGAAUUUUGGAUAAUGGGCGUAAGCCUGAUCCAGCCAUGCCGCGUGAGUGAAGAAGGCCUUUGGGUUGUAAAGCUCUUUUGGUUGGGAAGAAAUUGCUUCGGUUAAUAUUCGGAGUAGAUGAUGGUACCAGCAUAAGAAGCACCGGUUAACUACGUGUUAGUAGUUGUGGUAAUAUGUAGGGUGCGAGCGUUAAUCGGAAUUACUGGGCGUAAAGCGUGCGUAGGCGGUUGUAUAGGUCAGAUGUGAAAUUCCCGGGUUUAACCUGGGAACUGCAUUUGAGACUGUACGGCUAGAGUGUGGCAGAGGGGGGUGGAAUUUCACGUGUAGUAGUGAAAUGUGUAGAGAUGUGGAGGAAUAUUGAUGGUGAAGGUAGCCCCCUGGGCCAAUACUGACGCUCAUGCACGAAAGCGUGGGGAGUAAAUAGGAUUAGAUAUCCCGGUAGUCCACGCCCUAAACGAUGUUAACUAGGUGUUGGAAGGGUUAAACCUUUUAGUGCUGUAGCUAACGCGUGAAGUUGACCGCCUGGGGAGUAUGGCCGUAAGGUUAAAACUCAAAGGAAUUGACGGGGACCCGCACAAGCGGUGGAUGAUGUGGAUUAAUUUGAUGCAAUGUGAAAAAUUUUACCUACCCUUGAUAUGUCAGGAAUCCCGGAGAGAUUUGGGAGUGCUCGAAAGAGAACCUGAAUACAGGUGCUGUAUGGCUGUCGUCAGCUUGUGUUGUGAGAUGUUGGGUCAAGUUUCGCAACGAGCGUAAUCCUUGUCAUUAAUUGCCAUUAUUUAGUUGGGUAUUUUAAUGAGAUUGCCGGUGAAAAACCGGAGGAAGGUGGGGAUGACGUCAAGUCCUUAUGGCCCUUAUGGGUAGGGUUUUACACGUCAUAUAAUGGUCGGUCCAGAGGGUUGCUAACCCGUGAGGGGGAGCUAAUCUCAGAAAGCCGAUCGUAGUCCGGAUUGGAGUUUGUAAUUUGACUCCAUGAAGUCGGAAUCGCUAGUAAUCGCGGAUUAGUAUGUCGCGGUGAAUAUGUUCCCGGGUCUUGUAUAUAUUGCCCGUCACACCAUGGGAGCGGGUUCAGCCAGAAGUAGUUAGCCUAAUUGUAAGGAGGGUGAUUACCAUGGCAGGGUUCGAGACUGGGGUGAAGUUGGAAUAAGGUA